rnacentral:rRNA from 1 species
UCCUACGGGAGGCAGCAGUAGGGAAUCUUGCGCAAUGGGCGAAAGCCUGACGCAGCCAUGCCGCGUGAAUGAUGAAGGUCUUAGGAUUGUAAAAUUCUUUCACCGGGGAAGAUAAUGACGGUACCCGGAGAAGAAGCCCCGGCUAACUUCGUGCCAGCAGCCGCGGUAAUACGAAGGGGGCUAGCGUUGCUCGGAAUCACUGGGCGUAAAGGGCGCGUAGGCGGACAUUUAAGUCAGAGGUGAAAGCCCAGGGCUCAACCUUGGAAUUGCCUUUGAUACUGGAUGUCUUGAGUUCGGGAGAGGUGAGUGGAAUGCCGAGUGUAGAGGUGAAAUUCGUAGAUAUUCGGCGGAACACCAGUGGCGAAGGCGACUCACUGGCCCGAUACUGACGCUGAGGCGCGAAAGCGUGGGGAGCAAACAGGAUUAGAUACCCCAGUAGUCCAAGCCG